rnacentral:rRNA from 1 species
CCUACGUGUGGCAGCAGUAGGGAAUCUUCCACAAUGGGCGAAAGCCUGAUGCAGCAACGCCGCGUGGGUGAAGAAGGUUUUCGGAUCGUAAAGCUCUAUUGUCAGAGAAGAAAGUGCGUGAGAGUAACUGUUCACGGUUCGACGGUAUCUAGCCAGAAAGCCACGGCUAACUACGUGCCAGCAGCCGCUGUAAUACUAGGGAGGCUGCGGUUAUCCGGAUUAAGUGGGGUUAAAGGGUGGGCAGGCGGAUUAUUAAGUCACCGGUCAAACCGUGGGGCUCAACGCCAUUCAGCCGUUGAAACUGGGGAUCUAGAGUGUGCGAGAGGUAUGCGGAAUGCGUGGUGUAGCGGUGAAAUGCGUAGAUAUCAGGCGGAACACCGAUUGCGAAGGCAGCAUACCGGAGAGCAACUGACGCUCAGGCACGAAAGCGUGGGUAUCGAACAGGAUUAGAUACCCGAGUAGUC